rnacentral:rRNA from 1 species
AACGAACGCUGGCGGCAGGCUUAACACAUGCAAGUCGAACGCCCCGCAAGGGGAGUGGCAGACGGGUGAGUAACACGUGGGAACGUGCCCUUCGCUUCGGGAUAGCCUCGGGAAACUGGGAGUAAUACCGAAUACGCCGUAUUGGGAAAGAUUUAUCGGCGAAGGAUCGGCCCGCGUUGGAUUAGCUAGUUGGCGGUGUAAUGGACCACCAAGGCUACGAUCCAUAGCUGGUCUGAGAGGACGACCAGCCACACUGGGACUGAGACACGGCCCAGACUCCUACGGGAGGCAGCAGUGGGGAAUCUUGGACAAUGGGCGCAAGCCUGAUCCAGCCAUGCCGCGUGAGUGAAGAAGGCCUUAGGGUUGUAAAACUCUUUCGCCGGUGAAGAUAAUGACGGUAACCGGAGAAGAAGCCCGGCUAACUCGUGCCAGCAGCCGCGGUAAU